GUAGGAGGCGAGCGUUGUCCGGAAUCACUGGGCGUAAAGCGCGUGUAGGCGGGGGGGCAAGUCUGCUGUGAAAGCGCCUGGCUUAACCGGGCGAGGUCGGCGGAAACUGCUUCCCUGGAGGGCGGUAGAGGGGGGUGGAAUUCCCGGUGUAGUGGUGAAAUGCGUAGAGAUCGGGAGGAACACCUGUGGCGAAGGCGGCCCCCUGGGCCGCACCUGACGCUGAGACGCGAAGGCGUGGGGAGCGAACGGGAUUAGAUACCCCGGUAGUCCACGCAGUAAACGAUGUCCACUAGGUGUGGGGGGUAUCGAGCCCCUCCGUGCCGUAGCCAACGCAGUAAGUGGACCGCCUGGGGAGUACGGCCGCAAGGUUA
rnacentral:rRNA from 1 species